GUUCCCCUUAAUAAUGCUGUACAUACAUGCGUUCUCUGUUUGGUUACAGUUGUAGUUGUUUAUAGGCUCUGGCUCAUUUGUGGGUCUCCUGGCUGAGCUGCAGAGCUGCCCUGUCACUAUGGGUAUGUCUGGCAGACUCUGGAGUGAUGGCUUGACCACCUGUCUUGGCUUCAGACCUGUGCCAUCCUGUGAGCUGUUCUAAUAACUGGAGAUCGUGGUUGGAACUAGCUCCAUUUUGAGAGCUGUAUUGCUCUCCUGGUUUGGUACUAUAGGAUGGGACUGCCCUGCUGGUUCUCUCUGCUCCUGUGUCUACAUCCUGCUGGGACAAGGGCAGAGGGCUCUGGCUAAUGGCUGCAGCAGCAGAAUGGAGUAAUUGGAGGCACGGCUGGGGAGAGCAGUCGUGGACACUGGUGUCUACAUUCCAGAAGAGAGGAGCCAGUGCUGGAUGCCUAAAGCUGUCAGCAGAACUUUUCAGGUACAUGCCAGAAGAACUCCCAGCUGCAGAGUCUGUUGCUGGUGUUUGGGCAGAUCCACAAAGCUGCAAACAGUCGGUGUGUGCCUUAAAUUCAGUGACUCCUGUGAAGUGAAACCCCAGCAAGCUCCACGGUGAUUUGUAGAGGUAAAUACAUAUUUCACGAGUAAGAUGCAAAUGUGCCUGGCGUAGUCCCCCAAAGUGCACACUCCUGCUGCUGUCACUUGUUUGUGUCUAUCCAAUUUUGAAUUAUGUUUGCCUCUCAAAUUUAAUAAUUUUGACAAGUUAAUUUCAGCCUGUUCCUGACAAGGAAAGUAGCUAUGAGGAAUAAAAAAAAAAAAAAAGAGGAGUGAAGUGCUCCG
rnacentral:lncRNA from 1 species